GUUUGAUCCUGGCUCAUGACGAACGCUGGCGGCGUGCUUAACACAUGCAAGUCGAGCGGAGUAAAUAGGGGCUUGCUUUUCUUUACUUAGCGGCGGAUGGGUGAGUAACACGUGGGCAACCUACCCUAUGGAGGGGAAUAACAGGGAGAAAUCUUUGCUAAUACCGCAUAGAUCCAAAGUUUUGCAUAAAGCUUUGGAAAAAGGAGAAAUCCGCCAUAGGAUGGGCCCGCGUCCCAUUAGCUAGUUGGUGAGAUAACAGCCCACCAAGGCGACGAUGGGUAGCCGACCUGAGAGGGUGAACGGCCACAUUGGAACUGAGACACGGUCCAGACUCCUACGGGAGGCAGCAGUGGGGAAUAUUGCACCAAUGGGGGAACCCUGAUGCAGCAACGCCGCGUGAGCGAUGAAGGUCUUCGGAUGUAAAGCUCUGUCUUCGCUGACGAUAAUGACGUAAGCGAGGAGGAAGCAGGCUAAUACUGCCACACCGCGGUAAUACUAGGUGGGAGCGUUGUCCUGGAAUUACUGGGCGUAAAGGGUGCGUAGGCGUUUUUAAUGGGAUGUGAAAUCGCUGAGCUUAACUUCAGAAUUGCAUUCAAACUGGAAGGUAAGACAGGAAGGAAAGCGGAAUUCCCAGUGUACGGGAAAGCGUAAGAUUGGGAGGAACACCAGUGGCGAAGCGGCUUUCUGCUGUAAUGACGCUGAGGCACGAAGCGUGGGGAGCAAACAGGAUUACGAUACCUGGUAGUCAGCCGUAAACAGAAUACUAUCGUGUGGAGGGCUAAGCCCUCUGUGCCGCAGUCUAACACAUUAAGUAUUCGCCUGGGAGUACGAUGCAAGAUUAAAACUCAAGGAAUUGACGGGGACCCGCACAAGCGCGAGCAUGUGUUUAUUCGAUGCAACGCGACAGACACUUACAAGCUUGACAUCUAAAGAAUCUAUAGAGAUAUUGAGUGCCCGCAAGGGAGCUUUAAAAGUGGUCGCAUGGUUGUAUUCAGUCUUCUCUGUCGAUGAGCAUGUUUAGGUUGUCCUGCCACGCAUGCCAACCUACUUUAGUUGGCUAACAUUCACCUACAGUUGAGCACUGUUACAGGUAACGUACUGCUACGGUAACUUAGAGGAAGGUGGGGAUGACGUCAAAUCAUCAUGCCCUUUCUUCUCUGGGCAACACACGAUCUACAAUGGUCGGUACAAAGAGAAGCAAUACCGCGAGGAGGAGCAAAUCUUAAAAACCGAUCCCAGUUCGGAUUGCAGGUUGCAACUCGCCUGCCUGAAGCCGGAGUUGCUAGUAAUCGUGAAUCAGCAUGCCACGGUGAAUUCGUUCCCGCGUCUUGUACACACCGCCCGUCACACCAUGACAGUCAGUAACACCCGAAGUCAGUGGGCUAACCGUA
rnacentral:rRNA from 1 species